GUGCUCGCUUUGGCAGCACAUAGGCUAAAACUGGAAUUAUGCAGGGAAGAUUUGCAUGGCGCCUGCUUAAGGAUGCACACAGAUUCCAGCAGGUUGUUGUAGAAAUU